UCGAUCUGCCUCCAAAAGUU
rnacentral:siRNA from 1 species